AGUGGAAAUGCUGGAUCUUAUGGUAAUUCUGUGUUUAACUUUUUUGAGGAACUACCAGGCCGUUUUCCACAGCAGCUGCACCAUUUAC
rnacentral:miRNA from 1 species